rnacentral:rRNA from 1 species
AGUGAACGCUGGCGGUAGGCCUAACACAUGCAAGUCGAACGGCAGCACAGUAAGAGCUUGCUCUUACGGGUGGCGAGUGGCGGACGGGUGAGGAAUACAUCGGAAUCUACUUUUUCGUGGGGGAUAACGUAGGGAAACUUACGCUAAUACCGCAUACGACCUACGGGUGAAAGCAGGGGAUCUUCGGACCUUGCGCGAUUGAAUGAGCCGAUGUCGGAUUAGCUAGUUGGCGGGGUAAAGGCCCACCAAGGCGACGAUCCGUAGCUGGUCUGAGAGGAUGAUCCGCCACCCUGGAACUGAGACACGGUCCCGACCCCUACGGGAGGCAGCGGGGGGGAAUAUUGGAAAAUGGGCGCAAGCCUGAUCCGGCCAUACCGCGUGGGUGAAGAAGGCCUUCGGGUUGUAAAGCCCUUUUGUUGGGAAAGAAAAGCAGCAGGUUAAUCCCCCGCUGUUCUGACGGUACCCAAAAAAUAAGCACCGGCUAACUUCGU